ensembl:lncRNA
UGUGGGACUAGGUACUGUGGGACUAGGUACUGUGGGACUAGAUACUGUGGUAUGAGAUACUGUGUUAGCACUGGAGAUACUGUGGGAUUAGAUACUGUGGGACUAGAUACCAUGGGACUAUAUACUGUGGGAAUAGAUAUCAUUUAAAAAAAAAUGUUUACCUUUAUUUAACUAGGUUAAGAACAAAUUCUUAUUUUCAAUAACGGCCUAGGAACAGUGGGUUAACUGCCUGUUCAGGGGCAGAACGACAGAUUUGUACCUUGUCAGCUCGGGGGUUUGAACUUGCAACCUUCCGGUUACUAGUCCAACGCUCUAACCACUAGGCUACCCUGCCGCCCCAAUUGGACUAGGUACUGUGGGACUAGGUACUGUGGGAUUAGAUACUGUUGGACUCAUUACCAUGGGACUAGGUUCCAUGGGACUAGGUACUGUGGGACAUUACCAUGGGACUAGGUACUGUGGGACCAGAUACUGUGGGACCAGAUGCUGUGGGACUAGGUACUGUGGGACGUUACCAUGGGACUAGAUACUGUGGGACCAGAUACUGUGGGA